rnacentral:rRNA from 1 species
CUAGCAGUAUCAGAGUUUGAUCCUGGCUCAGAUUGAACGCUGGCGGCAUGCCUUACACAUGCAAGUCGAACGGCAGCACGGGAGCUUGCUCCUGGUGGCGAGUGGCGAACGGGUGAGUAAUAUAUCGGAACGUACCCUAGAGUGGGGGAUAACGCAGCGAAAGUUGCGCUAAUACCGCAUACGAUCUACGGAUGAAAGUGGGGGAUCGCAAGACCUCAUGCUCAUGGAGCGGCCGAUAUCUGAUUAGCUAGUUGGUGGGGUAAAGGCCUACCAAGGCAUCGAUCAGUAGCUGGUCUGAGAGGACGACCAGCCACACUGGAACUGAGACACGGUCCAG